GGCCUUGACAUACUAAGAACUUUCCAGAGAUGGAUUGGUGCCUUCGGGAACUUAGAUACAGGUGCUGCAUGGCUGUCGUCAGCUCGUGUCGUGAGAUGUUGGGUUAAGUCCCGNAACGAGCGCAACCCUUUUCCUUAUUUGCCAGCGGGUCAUGCCGGGAACUUUAAGGAUACUGCCAGUGACAAACUGGAGGAAGGCGGGGACGACGUCAAGUCAUCAUGGCCCUUACGGCCAGGGCUACACACGUGCUACAAUGGUCGGUACAAAGGGUUGCUACCUCGCGAGAGGAUGCUAAUCUCAAAAAGCCGAUCGUAGUCCGGAUCGCAGUCUGCAACUCGACUGCGUGAAGUCGGAAUCGCUAGUAAUCGCGGAUCAGAAUGCCGCGGUCGAAUACGUUCCCGGGCCUUGUACACACCGCCCGUCACACCAUGGGAGUUUGUUGCACCAGAAGUAGGUAGUCUAACCGCAAGGAGGACGCUUACCACGGUGUGGCCGAUGACUGGGGUGAAGUCGUAACAAGGUAAGCGUAGAUGA
rnacentral:rRNA from 1 species